rnacentral:rRNA from 1 species
UACGAAGGGGGCUAGCGUUGUUCGGAAUUACUGGGCGUAAAGCGCGUGUAGGCGGCCAGGUAAGUCGGAUGUGAAAGCCCGGGGCCCAACCCCGGAACUGCACCCGAUACUGCCUGGCUGGAGUCCCGGAGAGGAUGGCGGAAUUCCCGGUGUAGAGGUGAAAUUCGUAGAUGUUGGGAAGAACACCGGUGGCGAAGGCGGCGACCUGGUCCAUUACUGACGCUGAGGCGCGACAGCGUGGGGAGCAAACAGG